rnacentral:rRNA from 1 species
CAAAGGCUCAGUCCUGACUUUACUAUCAGUUUUGGCCAAACUUACACAUGCAAGUUUCCGCUCUCCCGUGAGAAUGCCCACAGUUUUCUACUUGAAAACAAGGAGCCGGUAUCAGGCACUCUCCCCAUGAAGCCCACAACACCUUGCUUAGCCACACCCUCAAGGGAAUUCAGCAGUGAUAAACAUUAAGCCAUAAGUGAAAACUUGACUUAGUAAAAGCCAAGAGAGCCGGUAAAACUCGUGCCAGCCACCGCGGUUAUACAAGAGGCCCAAAUUGAUAGCCAUCGGCGUAAAGAGUGGUUAAGAAACCCUAAAAUUAAAGCCAAAUGCCCUCAAAACUGUUAUACGUAUCCGAAGGUAAGAAGCCCUAUCACGAAAGUGGCUUUAUAACUCUGACCCCACGAAAGCUGUGAAACAAACUGGGAUUAGAUACCCCACUAUGCCCAGCCCUAAACUUUGAUAGCUUCUCACACCCGCUAUCCGCCUGGGUAUUACGAGCACCAGCUUAAAACCCAAAGGACUUGGCGGUGCUUUAGAUCCCCCUAGAGGAGCCUGUUCUAGAACCGAUAAUCCCCGUUAAACCUCACCCUCUUUUGCUCUUUCCGCUUAUAUACCGCCGUCGUCAGCUUACCCUGUGAAGGUUUAACAGUAAGCAAAACUAGUACUACUCAAAACGCCAGGUCGAGGUGUAGCACAUAAGAGAGGAAGAAAUGGGCUACAUUCUCUAUCAUAGAGAAUACAGACAAUAUAAUGAAAUAUAUAUAAGAGGAGGAUUUAGUAGUAA